rnacentral:rRNA from 1 species
GACGAACGCUGGCGGCGUGCUUAACACAUGCAAGUCGAGCGGUAAGGCCCUUCGGGGUACACGAGCGGCGAACGGGUGAGUAACACGUGGGUGAUCUGCCUCGCACUUCGGGAUAAGCCUGGGAAACUGGGUCUAAUACCGGAUAUGACCUGCUGUCGCAUGGCGGUGGGUGGAAAGAUUUAUCGGUGCGAGAUGGGCCCGCGGCCUAUCAGCUUGUUGGUGGGGUAAUGGCCUACCAAGGCGACGACGGGUAGCCGACCUGAGAGGGUGACCGGCCACACUGGGACUGAGACACGGCCCAGACUCCUACGGGAGGCAGCAGUGGGGAAUAUUGCACAAUGGGCGAAAGCCUGAUGCAGCGACGCCGCGUGAGGGAUGACGGCCUUCGGGUUGUAAACCUCUUUCGACAGGGACGAAGCGCAAGUGACGGUACCUGUAGAAGAAGCACCGGCCAACUACGUG